rnacentral:rRNA from 1 species
AAGGCGCGCGAUACAGGGUGACAGCCCCGUACACAAAAGCGUAUGUGCUGUGAGCUCGAUGAGUAGGGCGGGACACGUGGUAUCCUGUCUGAAUAUGGGGGGACCAUCCUCCAAGGCUAAAUACUCCUGACUGACCGAUAGUGAACCAGUACCGUGAGGGAAAGGCGAAAAGAACCCCGGCGAGGGGAGUGAAAAAGAACCUGAAACCGUGUACGUACAAGCAGUGGGAGCCCCACCACUAAGCCAGUGGUGAACUCCACAUACGCAUCCUUUGCUGAGGAUACGGUUAACGGAGCGAAAGCGACGUUCAACCGCAAAAGAAGCAGAGGGGGCUUAGUGGUGGGGUGACUGCGUACCUUUUGUAUAAUGGGUCAGCGACUUAUAUUCUGUAGCAAGGUUAACCGAAUAGGGGAGCCGGAGGGAAACCGAGUCUUAACCGGGCGUUAAGUUGCAGGGUAUAGACCCGAAACCCGGUGAUCUAGCCAUGGGCAGGUUGAAGGUUGGGUAACACUAACUGGAGGACCGAACCGACUAAUGUUGAAAAAUUAGCGGAUGACCUGUGGCUGGGGGUGAAAGGCCAAUCAAACCGGGAGAUAGCUGGUUCUCCCCGAAAGCUAUUUAGGUAGCGCCUCGUGAAUUCAUCUCCGGGGGUAGAGCACUGUUUCGGCUAGGGGGCCAUCCCGGCUUACCAACCCGAUGCAAACUGCGAAUACCGGAGAAUGUUAUCACGGGAGACACACGGCGGGUGCUAACGUCCGUCGUGAAGAGGGAAACAACCCAGACCGCCAGCUAAGGUCCCAAAGUCAUGGUUAAGUGGGAAACGAUGUGGGAAGGCCCAGACAGCCAGGAUGUUGGCUUAGAAGCAGCCAUCAUUUAAAGAAAGCGUAAUAGCUCACUGGUCGAGUCGGCCUGCGCGGAAGAUGUAACGGGGCUAAACCAUGCACCGAAGCUGCGGCAGCGAACGUAUCACUUAAAGCGAUUCAGCGGGUUACGAUU